rnacentral:rRNA from 1 species
AUUGAACGCUGGCGGCAGGCCUAACACAUGCAAGUCGAGCGGAUGAAGAGAGCUUGCUCUCUGAUUUAGCGGCGGACGGGUGAGUAAUGCCUAGGAAUCUGCCUGGUAGUGGGGGAUAACGUCCGGAAACGGGCGCUAAUACCGCAUACGUCCUACGGGAGAAAGCAGGGGACCUUCGGGCCUUGCGCUAUCAGAUGAGCCUAGGUCGGAUUAGCUAGUUGGUGAGGUAAUGGCUCACCAAGGCGACGAUCCGUAACUGGUCUGCGAGGAUGAUCAGUCACACUGGAACUGAGACACGGUCCAGACUCCUACGGGAGGCAGCAGUGGGGAAUAUUGGACGAUGGGCGAAAGCCUGAUCCAGCCAUGCCGCGUGUGUGAAGAAGGUCUUCGGAUUGUAAAGCACUUUAAGUUGGGAGGAAGGGCAGUAAGUUAAUACCUUGCUGUUUUGACGUUACCGACAGAAUAAGCACCGGCUAACUUCGUGCCAGCCGCCGCGGUAAUAC